rnacentral:rRNA from 1 species
AGCAGCCACCUUUUAAAACGCGUCAAAGCGUAACCUUAACCCCCAAAUACCAUUAAUCUUCAUGAACCCUCAAUUUAUAAUGAAUGACUCCAUAUUUAUAUGGAAGACACCAUGCUAGGAUUAGUAACAAGAAUUUAUAAUUCUCCAAAAUGCAAGUAUAAACCAACAUGGAUAGACCAUUGGUAGUCACCGAAUCUAAAUUUACUGCAAUAACACCCACAAGAAAACUCUGCAGUACUUACUCGUUAACCUAACACCAGCGCAUUAUAGGAAAGAUUUAAAAAAAGAGAAGGAAUUCGGCAAAUGACGGCCCCGCCUGUUUACCAAAAACAUCGCCUCUUGACUUGUAAUAAGAGGUCCAGCCUGCCCAGUGAAUUUUAAACGGCCGCGGUAUCCUAACCGCGCGAAGGUAGCAUAAUCACUUGUUCUUUAAAUGGGGACUUGUAUCAACGGCAUCACGAGGGUUUUACUGUCUCCUCUUUUUGAUCAGUGAAAUUGAUCUUCCCGUGAAGAAGCGGGAAUAAGCUUAUAAGACGAGAAGACCCCAUGGAGCUUAAAACCAAAUAACAACUUAACCACUUACCCCACUAUAAAUUUAAGCCCUGUUAUAAGGUUUUUGGUUGGGGUGACCGCGGAGUAAAACACAUCCUCCACGACGGAAAGAACACACUCUUUAUUUAAGAACCACAAUUCUAGAAAUUAGUAUACUAACGUUUACUGACCCGACAAUCGAUCAACGGACCAAGUUACCCUGGGGAUAACAGCGCAAUCUACUUCAAGAGCCCAUAUCGACAAGUAGGCUUACGACCUCGAUGUUGGAUCAGGGUAUCCCGGUGGUGCAGCCGCUACCGAAGGUUCGUUUGUUCAACGAUUAAAACCCUACGUGAUCU